rnacentral:lncRNA from 1 species
UUGAGGAUGAGGGUCAUCAUGUAGAAGAUUGUAUUGCUACUCCAAGACUGAAUGUCAGCUACUGACCAAGCCAUCAAGAAUGACAUAAAAGAAAUCUGCAACAACUUGGAAAUGGAGACGCAUUGAUGCAGGAUAACAAAGCACUGAACAGAUGAGAGCUGGGAGAGAGAAGAAGCACCCAUUCGGUGAGAAGAAAAAUGGUACACACUGACACACAUAUUACCCAAUAGCAGGUGUCCAUACUAUGUUUUGAGCAACUGGUUUGUAACGGGGGAGUCAAAGGGUUUCAUAUACCCUGCUGCAUCAACAAAAUCCUACUUGUAAUGGCAUUCAACGGUCACGUACCCAUCUUGUAAAUAACAUCAUUAUUAAUAAAACAAGAGGUGGAAACACUACCUCCCAUUUCAUCAAAAAAAAAAAAAAAAAAAAAAGACACAAAUAGUCUUCUAAAAUUGAUAUUUAUAUGUAUACUCUCGUCAAACAUUUGUUUUGCUAUUUUAUCUCUUUUUUAUCCAUAUUUUUGUAUAUAUAUCCAUGCCAUCUAAUAUCGUUAAAAAUUAACAGUUUCAAAUUAAAAUAACUAAAAUAUUCUUAAUGGGUGGAU